rnacentral:rRNA from 1 species
UACGUAGGGUGCGAGCGUUGUCCGGAAUUAUUGGGCGUAAAGAGCUUGUAGGCGGUUUGUCGCGUCUGCCGUGAAAAUUCGAGGCUCAACCUCGAACUUGCGGUGGGUACGGGCAGACUAGAGUGUGGUAGGGGAGACUGGAAUUCCUGGUGUAGCGGUGAAAUGCGCAGAUAUCAGGAGGAACACCGAUGGCGAAGGCAGGUCUCUGGGCCACUACUGACGCUGAGAAGUGAAAGCAUGGGGAGCGAACAGG